rnacentral:tRNA from 1 species
GGGGCCGGGGCUCAGUGGUAGAGCGCUCACCUGGCACAUGUGAGGCACUGGGUUCAAUCCUCAGUACCA